GUUCCAGACCAUUUCACAAAACCUAACUCAUCUCUCAUGAGUAAUUUCGGUUCUUCACAAUUUUCGGUUCGGUUCGGUUAACCAAAGUAUAACCGAAGUUAUUUCAGAAGGAAACUAAUUGUUUUUUAUUUCUGAAGAUUAGCGAUUUUGGAGAGUGAUCAUCUCUUGUGUCCCCUUUGUGGAACAAAUAAUCUGCAAAACCACUUUAGAGUCUUCAUAUCAACUUUGAGUUAAUGAAUUGUGUUAAGACGAAUUUACCCCUAUAUUUUAUUUUGAAUGA
rnacentral:sRNA from 1 species